GACAAGCUUCUGGUGAUACGCGUACCAGCUUGGGCAAUACGCGUACCAACCUGGGCAAUACGCGUACCAGUCUGGGCAAUACGCGUACCAGAGGCUAUGUUACGUCCAAUACGCGUUUCAUACUAGGCAGUACGCGUAUGGGACAGCGCAGUACGCGUAUGGAGCACAAAUUCAGGAAAAAUCCAACUGAAUAGCUAUUAAGAGGCCAG
rnacentral:lncRNA from 1 species